UACGUAGGCAGCGAGCGUUGUUCGGAGUUACUGGGCGUAAAGGGCGUGUAGGCGGGAAGGCAAGUCGGGCGUGAAAGCCCCAGGCUCAACCUGGGAACUGCACUCGAAACUGCCUUUCUUGAGUGCCGGAGAGGAAAGCGGAAUUCCUGGUGUAGAGGUGAAAUUCGUAGAUAUUGGGAAGAACACCGGUGGCGAAGGCGGCGCUCUGGACCGAGACUGACGCUGAGGCGCGAAAGCGUGGGGGAGCAAACAGG
rnacentral:rRNA from 1 species